GUUGUUGCAAAGGGAUCGGCCUUUGACCUCUCCAUCUGAAUUAUCGUGAUCGGGCUCAACUUAUCCCCGAGUUGCGUCUAAUCGCCCCGCAGAGGAGACCCGGGUGUUUCCGCUCAGCCAAUCGCGUCUGCCGGGCCGCGUCCGAGCCCGCUGCCGACGCCGGGCGAGCCGCGAACCGCGUUGGAGGCCGGAGCGGGAAGCGCGGUGCGGAGCGGGUCGGACCGGCCGGGACGGCGCCCUGAGCCCGCAGGAGCGUGCGGCGGCUGCGUGGGGCCGGGGGCGCUCGCCGCGGUGACAUUUCCUUUCCUGAGAGCGGCAGGAGGGGUCUGCGGGUGGGCGGACCUCCCGUGUUUGGUUACAGAGAAUAGAUGAAAGAGUGGCGAGUUCCCGCGGUGUGGUUCCGCCACGGUUUGUUUGGGGCAGUGGCUUUUCUGUCAAUUUCCACAGUAUCGGUAGGUUCAUCCUGUGGCAGGUCAGUUUCUACUUUUGUGAUUAGAUGGGCCCAAAAAUGAGGGGAAAAAAUCGUCUGCGGGGAAGGAGGCUGCCGAGUGGAGACACAGGAAGGCAGCUGUGAGGUUGAUGACAGGUUUCAAUUUGUUAUCAGUAGGAGUGAAGUGGUAUCUAAUCUCAAGAAUGGCCUCGAGGCUGGUAGUCACUUCCUCCAGCCCUCCGACAGCCUUUCCCUAAACUGCUCGGGGCUGCCAUUUUAAAUCCACUAAACUUCCAAUCGCAGUUUGCAACUCUCCCCUCUCCAUUACUCAGAAUCUCUGGCUGGGAAUUUCCUACUAGCCACAGAUUAGUUAGUAUUCCAUACGUUUCAGUGUGCUAAUCAAUGCGUCAGGAGAACUGGGGGCGCAAACCUUAGGUCUCCACAGCUUACUCUUAGACACGCUGUGAACCGCUCAAACCACUAGGAUCCUAAUGAAGGUGCCCGUCUGCUGUCGCUGUGACUUUUCAUUACUCAGCUGCGUGCUACGAUGAGUGGGAAGCACCCUCCACUACCCACGAUAGAGUCCCAGACUCGUGUAUUCCUAAUAGCGUCUAAUGACUUGGGGCGGGGGGAGGUAACCUGACAUUUUAGAUUAUGCUGUGGACUAAAUAGUAUUAGAACAAAAAACUACUCUUUUGCAAUCACUACAUAUAAUUAAUAAAAUAGUUCAUUAAAUAUUAGCAGACACCUUUUAAAAGUAAUCAAACAUAACACCGAUUUCCAAAAUAUUUGCCUAACAAAGACUAACAAUAAAAUGACUUUUUCUCUUAACCCAAGAUUUAAAUUCGACCCCUAUGAUAGAAGCAUUUCACCUUAUUGACCAUUCUUCAAAAUAUAUAACCAAUAGCUACUGAUCAAUAAAUUCAGUUUGGCUUGGGUCUUUCCACUCGUGACACGAGGAUUUCUCCCCCCGCCCCGCCCCAUAUCCUGUUCCUGAGCCCGCGGCGCGCCCGCGUUUCCUGGCACUAGAGGGCGGCCUGGAGUUGCUGCAAGGCUGGCGUCGGGAAACCCAACUGUUCAGCUGGAAACUUCACCGCCCCGAAGAUUCCAGGAAGGAAAGAUGAGCCCGAACAGAAGGAAAGGGGACUCCGCAGGACACGCCGCGGCCUGGACGCACGAGCGGACCGUUAGGACAGGCCAGACGCGUGGAUGGCUCCACACACCAGGAGGUCCAUUUCCUGGACCCCUGCGUGAUGUCUUAACCGUUCCCGGGUUCGUAUCUCUCCAUUUCCAGGAAGCUAACCCGAGCACCUCUCAGGGCUGACGCUUCGGGGCUGAGACCUGGUCUGCGAUUCGUGCAGCGCUCUCUGGAGCGCGGGCUCCCCCUCUGCUCCCCGGUUCGUAGCCAUCGCGGGUCCGACAGCUCAGCGGCCAGCAGCCUGCGGUUUGUACUUACAUCAUGCUUAACCCUUCCGCUCCUGGACGCGGCCGGGUGGGAUCAGCGGUCCCCCAAGCUCCGGAGCACGCAGGACCUGGGUGGACAGAAUAGCGCCGGAGCCUGGGGCAAACGCAGCCGCCGGUGUGACCUCCAUCAGCCCCUAGGGUCCUCUGGGCUCCCCCGCGGGCCAACAGCCCACCUUUCUCCAGCCUGAAAUCAAGGAAAGUUCAGCCAACCCAGGGCCCCAGUUUGCAGUACGGGGCAGACCCGACACCCGCGAACGGAUUCACGCAGAAAAGCCACCAGAACAAGUCCCCAGUAAUUCAGCGGAUGCCCUUCAUGGCAAAACCCCCGCUCCCCUGCUGUUUUCAAGGGUCGGAGGAGGGCCCUGGGAAGGAAGGCCAAUGGCCAGCUGGCCCUGGGUCCUGGGCGCUGACUGACUUGGGGGUGCCAGCCCUGUCCUCAGGGGCAUGGAGGUAGCGUCAGUUGGGACCCUGCGGCUUCCAGGCGUGGGGAUGGAAUGUGGCUCUGAGCUUCGAGGGACCAAAGGGGCUUUUUGGAGCGUUGGGGCUUUCUCACCCCAGCCCCCCCGCCGCCCGAGGCUGGCAGAUUUAUGCCACACAGGUGGACGGAGACCAAAACAAAACAGUUCCAGCAGUGCCUGCCGCUCGCCCCCCCACGUCCCCCUGGCCCACCGCAAACUUCAGCAAAAUAAACAACUCACCACAGGCA